rnacentral:rRNA from 1 species
AGCGAACGCUGGCGGCAGGCUUAACACAUGCAAGUCGAGCGGGCACUUUCGGGUGUCAGCGGCGGACGGGUGAGUAACGCGUGGGAACGUGCCCUCUGGUUCGGAAUAACUCAGGGAAACUUGAGCUAAUACCGGAUACGCCCUUUUGGGGAAAGGCUUGGUGCCGGAGGAUGGGCCGGCGUCUGAUUAGCUAGUUGGUGAGGUAACGGCUCACCAAGGCGACGAUCAGUAGCUGGUCUGAGAGGAUGAUCAGCCACACUGGGACUGAGACACGGCCCAGACUCCUACGGGAGGCAGCAGUGGGGAAUAUUGGACAAUGGGCGCAAGCCUGAUCCAGCCAUGCCGCGUGAGUGAUGAAGGCCUUAGGGUUGUAAAGCUCUUUUAUCCGGGACGAUAAUGACGGUACCGGAGGAAUAAGCCCCGGCUAACUUCGUG